UAAGGCACACCAGGCUUUGUAUCUCUUCUCUCCUGGAUGACCACCUCUACCUUUCUGCUUGGUCUUGGAACUUCAGGUUCAGCUUCUACUGGACUAGUGGUGUCUUUCACCUCUCCGUUCUCCAGUCUUUCUGCCUCUUCUUCUAAUCCUUCUUCCCUUAACUUCUUCACCUUCCGUGCUCGAAGUUUAGACAGCCUUGAUUCUAGAGCUGCUUUCCUUUUUUCUUUUAACUGUUCACGCUUAGUUCUUUGAUCCAGUGUCUGCUCUCUUAGCAUAUCCAGUGUUGCCC
rnacentral:lncRNA from 1 species